CCAUUCUUUUAGCCAAAACCAACCCACCCCCGUCUAUUUCUCCAUCCUUUGGGCACCUCAAUCCUCCUUUCUUGUCCCUCCAACACCUCCCAGGCCACCCCAACUUGCACCCCAUCCCUACCUUUCCUCCAUCCAUGCCUCUUCCCAUAGCAACCCCUCAGCCCCCAUCUCUUACCAACACCCUCCAGCCUGCAACAACCUUCCCCAACCCACAAGCCCUGUAUCCCUCAGUUCAUUCCUCCACUCAUGGGACUCCAUAGCCACAGUCUAUCUCCAACAUCCUCCCAACUCACAACAACCUGUGCCUCUAUCCAUGCCUCCCUCCCAACACAACCUGCACCCCACUCUGUCCCUAGAUAUGUGGGCCCCCAGUGCCCUUUUGUCCUUUCUCCAACAUGCAUCCCUAUCCCUACCCUACCCCCCACUCCCUCCCUCCAUCCAUGGGGCCCCUCAGCCUUUCUCUCUCCUUCCUCCACAACACAAACCCUUCAUAGGACAUGGGCAGGGAUGCUAGGUGUACAUCCCCACAGGCCAGGUCUCGAGAGCCAUGGAGAAGUAGGAGUAGACGAAAAACAUGCGGAGUAGUGGAUGUACCAAGGGAAAAGAAAUCAAACAUCAGAGUUUACUCUCCUCAUUGGAUGGAAAGCGAGAGCAGUGAGCCCGCGAGCAUUGUUGAUGCAAGUGAAGAGCCGUCCGGUUGGCAGUGGAGCAGUUGCUACUGUCAGUGAGAUAAGUGUCUGGUUUCGAGAGGGCUCUGCUCAUGACCCGCCUGGCUCCAGAUAGGGCCGCCCCAUUGGCUGGGGUUGGGUUUGUGAGAAAUGCUUCCUGACCAGCUGUUCUUACGAGAGAGACAAGAUCCCCAUUUUCAGGGGCUGCUCAUUUCUCUGGCCAGGAGCGGUGUGUCCUCCACAGCAGAAGGUUGCAUCUAGGAGGAUGACUCCAGGUGUUUGCAGAGGAAUCAUCCAGGAGCCCUAACCGGACAAGAAUAUGGCAGAAGUGGACCUGAGCAGCCUGGACAUCCUUCUAAGGAGACAUGAAUAGUCCUCAUGUUUCUGCUUUCUGCAUCACGGGCUAUGAGUAAGAGUACCAAGGAAAACGAAGUCGCACAUCAAAGUCUACUGCCCUGAUGCGAUGGAAAGCGAGCAAGAGCGUCGAGACUCUGACCAUUGUUGAUGCCACACAAAAGCUGUCCAUCUGGAAGCCGAGGAGAUGCUGCUGUCAGCGAGAUAAGUGUCUGGUUUGGGGAGGGCUCUGCUCACGCCCAACCCGAGUCCAGGUAGGGAAGCCCAGUACGGUAAGGCUGGGUUUAUAUGAAAAGGUUCCUGACUAGCUGUGGUCACGAGGGAGAAAAGGUCCCUGUUUUCAGAGGUUGCUCAUUUUUCUGGUCAGGAACAGUGUCUCCUGCACAGGGGGAGGUUGGAUCCAGGAGGAUGACUCAGGUGGUGAGUUGCUUGCUUUCCUCCCAUUUCUCUCUCUCUCCUCUAGUGUGUUGGCCAACUUUCUCACUCUCUUCCCUCUCCUCUCCUCAUGCCGUCUCACUUCCUAAGACACGGGCAGGCGUGCUAGGCGUGCAUCCCUACAGGCUAGGUCUCGGGAUCCAUGGAGUAGCGGGAGCUGACGAAAAUCAUGCGUAGCAGUGGCUGUUGGUGUUAACUCUGUCUCUGAUGGAGUGGGGCUGAGGUAGAUUGGGUUGGAGAGGGAUGCCAGGUUGAGGGCAAGAUUCGAAGCACCAAUAGAGCUUUGUGUAGUGAUGGCUCAUGCUUGGCUUUUGCAGCUGCUCUUCCGAAGCAAUUUUCCAGGAGUCCUAGACUGAGGAGAAAGUGGCAGAAGUGGACAUGAACAAUCCUCAGCUUUCUGACUCCCGCACAACUGGCUGUGAGUAAGCAGUCAGUGGUCUGAAUUCCUCAUCUGUGCUCGCUGUAAUACUCUUCUCAGGCCUUGUGCUUCCUCGUUGAGUGCGGGGCUCUGUCAGAUUACGCUGGGGAGGGGCCAGAGUCUGCUGUGCAGAGUGAUUAUUUCGGGUGCCGUUGGAAGGGGUGCUUUUUAGUUGUUGUGCUAAAGGCGUAAUGGGGGGGAGGGUUUGGGGCGGAGUACUGCCGCGUGGGAGAGGUGAAUAGAAUGUUUCCCACUCUGAUGAUAACUGUGAUUAAUGUGCAUAAAUAUUUGUUAGGCCUCAACCUUCCGGAAAUUGUAUGAAGCGAGUACAGAUGAAUCCUGCAAGAAUAAGUGUAAUCUAACUAGGAAGCUUUGUAGAGUAAAAAGGAAACUCUGUAAAGGUAGAUACAGACUUGUGGUUACUAUGCUCUGCAACCAAAUACCUCUUUAAUCUCAUUUGAACAUUUUUGAGUCUAGAAAAUUAAACACUAUUAGCCCCAUAGAAAAGAGAUGACCUGAGCACAGGUGCACCAUUCAUAAGAUCAAGACAACUGCACAUACCACACUGAAACAUUUGGCCGUCUUCAUUGGUUGAUGUGUUUUGAAACAUGGCCAGCAAAUACCAUAUAAAUAAGAUGCAGAGGCGCAAGUGUGUUUGUGUGUGUGUGUGUGCAUUGACCUAAAAGAGGUCACUCUUUGUCAGGCUCAUAUACACCCCUUGAACCAAAGGGACUUGCUCUUCAAUGACUGACUAUGCCUGGCAGUGCAGGAAAUGGUCAACUGAAGGUAAUGUAUCUUUGGAAGAACUCAGGGUAAGUUUUUAAAGUGAAGAGGUCUGGUUAUGCUCGUGCUGGUUAAUCUUAAG